GGCGGACGGGUGAGUAACACGUGGGCAUCCUGCCCUAGAGAUGGGGGUAACUCCGGGCAACCGGGGCUAAUACCGAAUAAUCAGUUUGUCCGCAUGGACAAACUCUGAAAGACGGUUUCGGCUGUCACUGUAGGAUGGGCCCGCGGCGCAUUAGCUAGUUGGUGGGGUAAUGGCCUACCAAGGCAACGAUGCGUAGCCGACCUGAGAGGGUGAUCGGCCACACUGGGACUGAGACACGGCCCAGACUCCUACGGGAGGCAGCAGUAGGGAAUCUUCCACAAUGGACGAAAGUCUGAUGGAGCAAUGCCGCGUGAGCGAAGAAGGUUUUCGGAUCGUAAAGCUCUGUUGUAAGGGAAGAACAAGUACGGGAGUAACUGCCCGUGCCAUGACGGUACCUUAUUAGAAAGCCACGGCUAACUACGUGCCAGCAGCCGCGGUAAUACGUAGGUGGCAAGCGUUGUCCGGAAUUAUUGGGCGUAAAGCGCGCGCAGGCGGUUCUUUAAGUCUGAUGUGAAAGCCCACGGCUCAAC
rnacentral:rRNA from 1 species